rnacentral:RNase_P_RNA from 1 species
UUGAACGGCUGCGGGCGAAGCCCGAAAGGGCCCGUCUGAGGAAAGUCCGAGCUCCACAGGGCAGGAUAACGGCUAACGGCCGCCGGGGGCGACCCCAGGGAAAGUGCAACAGAGAUAUACCGCCGCUUAAAAAGCGGUAAGGGUGGAAAGGCGAGGUAAGAGCUCACCAGCAUACGGGAGACCGUAUGGCUCUGUAAACCCUAUCCGGAGCAACACCGCGGAGGGAUGAGAACGCCGGCCCGGCGUAUAUCCCGUGGAGGUGGCAUUGAGCCUGCGCGGCAACGCGAGGCCAAGAUAGAUGGUCGUUCACGACAGAACUCGGCUUAUAGAACUGG